rnacentral:tRNA from 1 species
GCGCGGGUGGUGGAACUGGUAGACACGCAUGUUUGAGGGGCAUGUAGGGAAACCUGUGAGGGUUCGAGUCCCUCCCCGCGCA